CACAAAGUAAAGUGCAUAAGUAAAGGGUUCGGGUAAGAGAUAACCGAGGCACGAGGAGACGAUGAUGUAUCCCGAAGUUCACACCCUUGCGGAUGCUAAUCUCCGUUAGAGCGGUGUGGAGGCACAAUGCUCCCCAAGAUGCCACUAAGGGCACCGUAAUCUCCUCACGCCCUCGCACAAUGCAAGAUGUUGUGAUUCCACUAAGG
rnacentral:lncRNA from 1 species